UACGUAGGUGGCAAGCGUUGUUCGGAAUUAUUGGGCGUAAAGGGCGCGUAGGCGGCCACCGCAAGUCGACUGUGAAAUCUCCGGGCUUAACCCGGAAAGGUCAGCCGAUACUGCGGGGCUAGAGUGCAGAAGGGGCAACUGGAAUUCUUGGUGUAGCGGUGAAAUGCGUAGAUAUCAAGAGGAACACCUGCGGCGAAGGCGGGUUGCUGGGCUGACACUGACGCUGAAGCGCGAAAGCCAGGGGAGCGAACGGG
rnacentral:rRNA from 1 species